rnacentral:rRNA from 1 species
GGUUAAGCGACUAAGCGUACACGGUGGAUGCCCUGGCAGUCAGAGGCGAUGAAGGACGUGCUAAUCUGCGAAAAGCGUCGGUAAGGUGAUAUGAACCGUUACAGCCGGCGAUGUCCGAAUGGGGAAACCCAGUGCAAUUCGUUGCACUAUCGUUUGAUGAAUACAUAGUCAAACGAGGCGAACCGGGGGAACUGAAACAUCUAAGUACCCCGAGGAAAAGAAAUCAACCGAGAUUCCCCCAGUAGCGGCGAGCGAACGGGGAGCAGCCCGGAGUCUGAAUCAGCUUGUGUGUUAGUGGAAGCGUCUGGAAAGUCGCAGGGUACAGGGUGAUACUCCCGUACACUAAAACACACAGGUUGUGAACUCGAAGAGUAGGGCGGGACACGUGGUAUCCUGUCUGAAUAUGGGGGGACCAUCCUCCAAGGCUAAAUACUCCUGACUGACCGAUAGUGAACCAGUACCGUGAGGGAAAGGCGAAAAGAACCCCGGCGAGGGGAGUGAAAAAGAACCUGAAACCGUGUACGUACAAGCAGUAGGAGCCCACUUGUUGGGUGACUGCGUACCUUUUGUAUAAUGGGUCAGCGACUUAUAUUCUGUAGCAAGGUUAACCGUAUAGGGGAGCCGCAGGGAAACCGAGUCUUAACUGGGCGUUAAGUUGCAGGGUAUAGACCCGAAACCCGGUGAUCUAGCCAUGGGCAGGUUGAAGGUUGGGUAACACUAACUGGAGGACCGAACCGACUAAUGUUGAAAAAUUAGCGGAUGACUUGUGGCUGGGGGUGAAAGGCCAAUCAAACCGGGAGAUAGCUGGUUCUCCCCGAAAGCUAUUUAGGUAGCGCCUCGUGAACUCAUCUUCGGGGGUAGAGCACUGUUUCGGCUAGGGGGUCAUCCCGACUUACCAACCCGAUGCAAACUACGAAUACCGAAGAAUGUUAUCACGGGAGACACACGGCGGGUGCUAACGUCCGUCGUGAAGAGGGAAACAACCCAGACCGCCAGCUAAGGUCCCAAAGUCAUGGUUAAGUGGGAAACGAUGUGGGAAGGCCCAGACAGCCAGGAUGUUGGCUUAGAAGCAGCCAUCAUUUAAAGAAAGCGUAAUAGCUCACUGGUCGAGUCGGCCUGCGCGGAAGAUGUAACGGGGCUAAACCAUGCACCGAAGCUGCGGCAGCGACGCUUAUGCGUUGUUGGGUAGGGGAGCGUUCUGUAAGCCGUUGAAGGUGGCCUGUGAGGGUUGCUGGAGGUAUCAGAAGUGCGAAUGCUGACAUAAGUAACGAUAAUGCGGGUGAAAAACCCGCACGCCGGAAGACCAAGGGUUCCUGUCCAACGUUAAUCGGGGCAGGGUGAGUCGACCCCUAAGGCGAGGCCGAAAGGCGUAGUCGAUGGGAAACAGGUUAAUAUUCCUGUACUUGGUGUUACUGCGAAGGGGGGACGGAGAAGGCUAUGUUGGCCGGGCGACGGUUGUCCCGGUUUAAGCGUGUAGGUGUGUGUUCCAGGUAAAUCCGGUUCACUUUAACACUGAGGCGUGAUGACGAGGCACUACGGUGCUGAAGUGACAAAUGCCCUGCUUCCAGGAAAAGCCUCUAAGCAUCAGGUAACAUCAAAUCGUACCCCAAACCGACACAGGUGGUCAGGUAGAGAAUACCAAGGCGCUUGAGAGAACUCGGGUGAAGGAACUAGGCAAAAUGGUGCCGUAACUUCGGGAGAAGGCACGCUGAUAUGUAGGUGAAGUGGUUUACCCAUGGAGCUGAAAUCAGUCGAAGAUACCAGCUGGCUGCAACUGUUUAUUAAAAACACAGCACUGUGCAAACACGAAAGUGGACGUAUACGGUGUGACGCCUGCCCGGUGCCGGAAGGUUAAUUGAUGGGGUUAUCCGUAAGGAGAAGCUCUUGAUCGAAGCCCCGGUAAACGGCGGCCGUAACUAUAACGGUCCUAAGGUAGCGAAAUUCCUUGUCGGGUAAGUUCCGACCUGCACGAAUGGCGUAAUGAUGGCCAGGCUGUCUCCACCCGAGACUCAGUGAAAUUGAACUCGCUGUGAAGAUGCAGUGUACCCGCGGCAAGACGGAAAGACCCCGUGAACCUUUACUAUAGCUUGACACUGAACACUGGUCCUUGAUGUGUAGGAUAGGUGGGAGGCUUUGAAGUGUGGACGCCAGUCUGCAUGGAGCCAUCCUUGAAAUACCACCCUUUAAUGGCUGGUGUUCUAACGUGGGCCCGUAAUCCGGGUUGCGGACAGUGUCUGGUGGGUAGUUUGACUGGGGCGGUCUCCUCCUAAAGAGUAACGGAGGAGCACGAAGGUCAGCUAAUCCUGGUCGGACAUCAGGAGGUUAGUGCAAUGGCAUAAGCUGGCUUGACUGCGAGCGUGACGGCGCGAGCAGGUGCGAAAGCAGGUCAUAGUGAUCCGGUGGUUCUGAAUGGAAGGGCCAUCGCUCAACGGAUAAAAGGUACUCCGGGGAUAACAGGCUGAUACCGCCCAAGAGUUCAUAUCGACGGCGGUGUUUGGCACCUCGAUGUCGGCUCAUCACAUCCUGGGGCUGAAGUAGGUCCCAAGGGUAUGGCUGUUCGCCAUUUAAAGUGGUACGCGAGCUGGGUUUAGAACGUCGUGAGACAGUUCGGUCCCUAUCUGCCGUGGGCGCUGGAGAAUUGAGGGGGGCUGCUCCUAGUACGAGAGGACCGGAGUGGACGCAUCACUGGUGUUCGGGUUGUCAUGCCAAUGGCAUUGCCCGGUAGCUAAAUGCGGAAGAGAUAAGUGCUGAAAGCAUCUAAGUACGAAACUUGCCCCGAGAUGAGUUCUCCCUGACUCCUUGAGAGUCCUGAAGGAACGUUGAAGACGACGACGUUGAUAGGCCGGGUGUGUAAGCGCAGCGAUGCGUUGAGCUAACCGGUACUAAUGAACCGUGAGGCUUAACCUU